GACGAACGCUGGCGGCGUGCUUAACACAUGCAAGUCGAACGGAAAGGCCCUGCUUGCAGGGUACUCGAGUGGCGAACGGGUGGGUAACACGUGGGUGAUCUGCCCUGCACUUCGGGAUAAGCCUGGGAAACUGGGUCUAAUACCGGAUAGGAGCCAUUUUUAGUGUGAUGGUUGGAAAGUUUUUUCGGUGUAGGAUGAGCUCGCGGCCUAUCAGCUUGUUGGUGGGGUAAUGGCCUACCAAGGCGGCGACGGGUAGCCGGCCUGAGAGGGUGGACGGCCACAUUGGGACUGAGAUACGGCCCAGACUCCUACGGGAGGCAGCAGCGGGGAAUAUUGCACAAUGGGCGCAAGCCUGAUGCAGCGACGCCGCGUGGGGGAUGACGGCCUUCGGGUUGUAAACUCCUUUCGCUAGGGACGAAGCUUUUUGUGACGGUACCUAGAGAAGAAGCACCGGCUAACUACGUG
rnacentral:rRNA from 1 species